AUGAUGGGGUGCUUCUGCAAGGGCCCUUUGGCUAUGUUGCCCAGGGCAAGAUUUGUCUUGCUGUACAGUGAGGUGGGAACUUACCACCUUUAGGUGGCUGUUGCUGUUGUUAAGCUAUAACUACCAUGGGUGCUGAGAAGGACAGAAGCAGUUUUGUAGAUGGAGCUUUGAGAAUCUCAGCUAAAAAUUACUGCCCUUCUGAGGGAUGGCACUUCAUAGGGCUGCCCAGCCUUUGUCUGCCUCACAGUCAUCUCUUUCUGUCCCUCUGCUCUUUCCUUCCUGAGCCCUGAUCCAGGCUGUUGCUCAGCUGAACGGACUUGAACAUACACAAGGCAGUCCGGGCCAGAGUGAGACUCAAAAUAUGUAUGUAAGGUCCUGACCUGAAGUGUCCUGAUCUUCACAAGCCAUAGCACCUGCAGCUUCCACAGACUGGUGGGAAACUCAAGUGCUACUCUUGUAGAAUCACCAGCACAGCUCCUCUGGCUCCCUGAAGGCAAACAUAGGUGAAAUGUAACUCAUCCAUUUGACAGACAGGAUGUCACCUCUCAGUGAGAUGUAGCUGUGAAAAACUACUCACAGGCCUUUAGUGUUGUUUUGAGAAGGAUGUGGGGGAAAAUCUUGUGUUUUGGUUGUAGUGUCCCACUACCAAAAAAUAAACGAUGAGCAGAGCCUUCA